rnacentral:rRNA from 1 species
UCGAGUGCAUGAAGCUGGAAUCGCUAGUAAUCGCGGAUCAGAAUGCCGCGGUGAAUACGUUCCCGGGUCUUGUACACACCGCCCGUCACACCAUGGGAGUCGAUAACGCCCGAAGUCAGUGACCCAACCUUAUAGGAGGGAGCUGCCGAAGGCGGGAUUGAUAACUGGGGUGAAGUCGUAACAAGGUAAC